rnacentral:lncRNA from 10 species
GUCACAAAAAGAAUUUCGUCAGUCUGGAAGGGGAGUUUUACUUACGUAAAUGGAUGUAGACCAGACUCAAGCAUGUAAGAACUGUGUUAAUGUGGAUUUCUAAGCCUCUGAAUGAAUUUCUAAGGCACCUAACCUAUUGUUUCUGAAAAUAUUUACUUUAAGGACCCUGUGAGGUGAUAUUAUGACCUCCCCUUCCCUAUGCCUCAGAAGAAAUUGAGGCAAUGAGAAAUAAAGUGGUUUAUCCAAGAUCACACAGCAAGUGGUAGAGCCACAAUCUGAACGAGGGCUGCCCUGAAGGGCAGACAGGUUUAUUG